rnacentral:misc_RNA from 1 species
AACGGUCUAUACCUGCGGUACCUGCGGAGGGAUCAUUAGUGAACGCCCUCACGGGCUUAUAACUAUUCCGAACCUCUGUGAACCGUGCCCUUCGGGGCUAUUUUACAAACAUGGUGUAAUGAACGUCAUAUAUCAUAACAAAACAAAACUUUUAACAACGGAUCUCU